rnacentral:tRNA from 1 species
GUAGUCAUAGCCGAGUGGUUAAGGCGAUGGACUAGAUUGGGGUUUCCCCGCGCAGGUUCGAAUCCUGCCAACUAUG